GAUCGAAUGAAAGCAUACAACGUUCAAAAAGACUCAGUGAUUUAGAAAAAAUUCACUAGAAGCCUUGCACAUUCUCAAACUAAACUUGAAUUUUUCUUUACGGAAGCAACCAUGUCUAUUGUUGGAGAGGCGAUUCCAACCGUGUCCAUGGAGAUGCUGUUCCAAAAGUUUACCUCUACUGAACUGUUACACUUUGCACAGCAGGAGCAAAUCCAGGAAGAUCUCAAGAAGUGGGAGAUGAAAUUGAUGAAGAUGAAGGCGGUGCUUGACGAUGCAGAAGAGCGGUAAAGAUCUGGGUCAGCACAAGUAAGUUACGGAAGCUAAUUCCUUCUUGCUUUAAUCCUCAGACUGUCAAGUUCAAUUCCAUGAUAAUCCUCAGGGGUGCCAUUCCCAUUACUGGAAACUCUUUGUUUUCAGAAAUAUGGAAAGAUGGGAAGUGUGGAUCCCUCAUGAAUAUGAAGAAGCUAAAGCUUUUCCUCAUCUCAGUGAACUUUCUAUUAGAAGAUGCUCUAAGCUGCUAGGAUUAUUGCCAAAACAUCUUCCUUCUUUGGAAAAGCUUGUCAUUAGAAGCUGUGAACAGUUGGUCUUAUGGUUGAAAGUCUUCCAAGACUCUGCAGAUUAGAAAUUGAUGAAUGUGAACAGAUGGUGCGGGGAAGUACAAUUGAUCUCAGCUUACUGAAAUCAGUGGUUCUUUCUGAUAUCUCGACUCACAUCUGUCCAACAGAGCUAUUUACCCACAGGUUAUCAAAAGUAGGAGAAAUAAAGAUUGAUAGUUCUGAAGAGCUGAAAUUUUUGUGGAGAAGUACAACUGAAUUGCUUCAAGAUAAUAGCUCCCUUUGUCGAUUGGUAAUUCAGCAAUGUCCCCAACUUCUGUGCAUGGUGGCAGAGGAAUAAGAAGAAGAAGAAGAAAAAGAACAGCCUGGGAUGCCUUGCAGACUUGAGUAUCUGGAAUUGAAUAUAUGUACACGCUUUGAAAAGCUACCAAAAGCAUUGUGCAGCCUUACUUUUCUUAAAGAAAUACACAUCCAGGACUGCCCAAAACUUGUUUCUUUUCCAGAGACUAGCAUGCCUCCCAGCUAAGAAUCAUCGGAAUUGCAAAAUGCAGUGCACUGAAAUCGCUACCUGAGGCUUAGAUGAACAGCAACAAUACAUAUCUUGAAAGCUUAUCCAGUAAGGAGUGUGAAUCUUUAAGACAUAUUGCUAAAUUUAGGCUUCCGUUGAAUCUGAAGUGGCUAUCUAUCAGCUGUUGCAAUAAUUUAUGGACUUUGAUCGAUGAGGAGGAGACUACUGACAGUGGAACCCUUAGCAACACCUCUCUUCUCGAGUACUUGACAAUCGAAUAUUGUCCAUCUCUCACAUCCUUGUGGUCAAGAAGUGAGUUACCUGAUACACUUGAACACAUUGAGGUUUCCAGUUGCUCAAAUCUUGCUUCCUUGUCAUCAAGGGGCAAUCUACCCAUGGCACUGAAAUACCUAAUCGUUUAUGACUGCUCCAAGCUAGAGUCGAUUGCAGAAUCUCACAUCCCUUGAACGUAUCGAGAUUUCUUGUUGUGAUAAUCUUAAAUGUUUACCUUGGGAUCUUCACAAGCUCCUCCAUCUUCAAGAGAUGACUACAUCUCGUUGUCCAAAUCUUGUUUCCUUUUCGGAAGGAGGCUUGCCUUCUGGGAACCUGACAUUGCUCUGCAUAUACAACUGUCAGAAACUGAAGGCCCUACCCAACCGCAUACACAAUCUCGCUGCACUUCAGCAUUUAUCAAUUACAGAUUGUCUGAGCAGGGCCUUGUUCACUGUCCAUUUCUUUCCUAUCAGCCUUGCAUAACUUGAAAUGGAAGAUUUGAACAUCUUUAGGAUAGACUCACUUCUCUUAGAGACCUCAGGAUUGGCAAGGGAUGCCCAGAAGUGGUGUCAUUUCCGCAAGAAGAGAUUGUAAUGAUGCUUCCUACAUCUUUAACCCAUUUGAAAAUUGAAAAUUUUCUGAAUCUGGAACGCCUGUCAUCUGGUAUUCAAAAUCUGACUGGCCUGGAAGAACUCUCCCUUUCUGCCUGUCCUAAGCUCACAUUUCUUCCGGAGGAUGGCCCGCCUUCGUCUCUUCUAAGACUGAACAUCCAUAAAUGUCCGUUGCUCAAACAAAUGUGCAAAAAGUAUAGAGGACAGAACUACUGGCCAAUGAUCGCUCGCAUACUUUACGUCUGCAUUGAUCUGAAUUUCAUACCAGCGUAUGGACCCCCAUGAUCGUUAUUGAUCUCCCACAAUCUGUUCCUGAGAAGACAACAUCAAGGCCCUUUUCAAAUCUGUCCUUAGAAAAGGUGCAGGCAACCUCAGCCUUGCGCAGGUCGGUGACAUUUCCAGGAAUGCCAGUGAUGCAGCAGAUUAUUUUGUCCAGGACCCUCCCCAAUAUAGCUUUGUUGAGAAGCAGCUGAAAUUGUCCAAACUGCCCAGUCUUUGCUGCCGAACCUGCUUCCUCUUAGGUAAUUUUCUGCCUUUACCCAGAAUUCCCAGGAGUUGGUGCAGUGGUCUCUGUCUCCAGGCCAACCCAGAUUGCUCUCCAUCUAGGAAAAUCAGACGGUUGCAGAGCUUGUUAUGCAGUUCCCCUGUUAGCAGAAGGUCCAAUCCAGCCCUGUCCAGGUUAUUUCCGAGUGCUGUCUCCAGGCAAGGCCAUGUCGACUCCUGCAGCUGUCACUCCAGCUCCUUUUCUCCUGAUUUUGCUGCUGCCUGGGAAUUCUGUGAAGCUGCAAAUCUGUUCUUGGUUGCUGCCACUCUUCAUUGGUUUGGCUGCAACAUGCAAUCUGCAAGUGAAGACCUGAUUGGCUCUGCCCUUUCAGAUACAGUUUGCUGCAAACUUGGGAUGAAUCUUUCGGGAAGUUCAGCCUCAACCAUAGUCGCUGUUGUUGCUUGAAAAAAUGAAGUCCUCCAUACUGUGAUUAAAGGAUAUUCAGUUUUUGUAGCUUGUGCUCAAAUCUGUUUUGCUAGUCACUUUUGUUUAGCUUAUACAUGGUGGUCAGGUCUGCACUUUCUCUUCCAAGUAAAUUUAGGGAUAUAUAGGUGUGGUUUGUAUCUCCACUUGAACUCUAUCAUGGUAGGUGUCAUAGGGGUAACUUGUUCCCCGGCAGAAGUACCCAUGAUGCAACCAAAUGUCUUACGACUCAGCAAUACCCGCACACUGCUAUGCGCUAUUGCCACGCACAAUUAUCGCAACAUUCCCAUACUUUGUUUAAUUCGGCAAGCCCAAUUUAAAGCAAUACAAAUAUACAUUUCGUACA